CUUAAAAUCUCCGUACAAAUUUUGUGCGGCGAAUUGUAGUCUAUGGAGGCGUGGUCAGCGCGGGUACUUAGGGUAAGUUCCUUGGAAGAGGACAGCAUGGAGGGUGAUACUCCCGUUCAUCCCUGAGUGGCUCGUGCGUACGACCCGUUUUCUUUGAGUCGCGUUGUUUGAGAAUGCAGCGCAAAGUAGGUGGUAAAUUCCAUCUAAAGCUAAAUAUUGGUGCGAGACCGAUAGCAUACAAGUACCGUGAGGGAAAGAUGAAAAGAACUUUGAAAAGAGAGUUAAAGAGUACCUGAAACUGCUGAAAGGGAACCGAAUCGUUUCCAGUGUCUAUAAUCCGUGGCAUAUUUCAUUGGCGAGUGUGUGCGUGCGUGUGCUAUGGCAGCGGCUUUUUGCUGCGCUUGGCGCGUGUGCUGUAUAUACUUACUGGUGCCCUGUGCUGCGGUGGGACGUCAAGGUCAGUUCGUAUGCUGCGGGAAAUGGCUGCCGAGGAGGUAGGGCUUACGCUUGCGUUUGUCUGUUAUAUCUUGGUGGACGAGUCGUCGCGGUUGGGACUGAGGUGCCUACAACGUGCUUUUGAGUGGGUUUGUGUCUCCGUGUGUGCCGUGUGCGGAUAGCUUGCUAUGCGUGUGUGGUAAUGUGUGGAUUGAUGCA
rnacentral:rRNA from 1 species